CCAAUAGCGUAUAUUAAAGUUGUUGCAGUUAAAAAGCUCGUAGUUGAAUUUCGGGAUCAAUCUAUCGGUCGUGCAAUAGUACGUACUGAUUUUAUUGAUUCCUCCCUUCUGAUGAACUAUGAUGUCAUUAAUUUGGUGUCAUAGGGACUCAGGACUGUUACUUUGAAAAAAUUAGAGUGUUUAAAGCAGGCUCACGCUUGAAUACAUUAGCAUGGAAUAACGAAAUAGGACGUUUGAUUCUAUUUUGUUGGUUUCUAGGAUCGACGUAAUGAUUAAUAGGGAUAGUUGGGGGCAUUAGUAUUCAAUUGUCAGAGGUGAAAUUCUUGGAUUUAUUGAAGACUAACUACUGCGAAAGCAUUUGCCAAGGAUGUUUUCAUUAAUCAAGAACGAAAGUUAGGGGAUCGAAGACGAUCAGAUACCGUCGUAGUCUUAACCAUAAACUAUGCCGACUAGGGAUCGGAUGAUGUUAAUUUUUUAAUGACUCAUUCGGCGCCUUACG
rnacentral:rRNA from 1 species